AUAGAUGUGUACCUCUUACCUGCUUGAAAACUCUUAAGUGCCAGCGUAAGCGUUUAGCAUUUGCUAGGUUCCUGUACUUUAGCUUUACAUAUAGGAUUGUCUUUUCCAGAAAACAAAUAACAGUAGCAGUGAUCAUGAUGAUGAUGGUUCAGGAAGAGUUGUUUGAAGGAAAGAGAGACCAAAUGUUUAUUCUGCAUCUGAUAGUUAUCAGGUUGGAAAAAUGAAAUGAAUCUGUAAGAAAAUAGAGCAGAAUCUGAAUGAAGAAUUGAUCAAGUUGCUUACAGAUGGAGAAAUCCCGUAUGUUCAUGAAGGCAGACAUUUACAGAGAUGAUUCCAACCAUUGAAGAGUCGAACCGACUGGGAACACAUCUAUGGCACAUCCCCAAGCUCACAGUUCCCUUGGAAAAAGAAUGGCAAGAAAUGAUAUAAAGAUUUUGAAGGGGUUUGUGGUAUUCCACUCCAGUUUUCCGAGGAAGAAGAUGAUACGUAUGGGUUUGUGUUUCCUUCAUGAGAAUUUGAAUACAGGAUAUAUUAAUUAAACAUAUAUCUUCAUUUUCCUGAUGGAGAAACUUGAGUCAGCAGUGAUUAAAUUACCCAGCUAUUUGGUUGCAGAGCUAAGACUACCCAUGGUUUUUACUCCUGUUCUACAUUCUUUUUUAUUACAAUUAUUAAUGGAAGAGUUUUGGGUUUUCAUAGAAGACCAAAGCAAGAGAAAGUUUAAAUUGUCAAGAAAGUUUAGAUAGAUAAAGGAAGCUUAUUUAAGUGUAAAGGAACUAAAUACUAUUAUUUUCUUUAUUUUAAGAUGUAUAUAUAUGUAUAUGUAUAUGUGUGUAUAUAUAUGUGUGUGUGUGUGUGUGUGUGUGUAUGUAUACACGCUAAUAUUCUGAAAUCAGCCUGACCCUUAGAAACAAUGUUAAGUCAUAGUUGCUUCCAGGAAGUAUGUCAAGUUGUGAGAUGAUCCUCUUUACUUGGAAGAAUUUAGCCACUGACAUUCUCAUGUAAUAGAUUAUGGAAUUGACAAAACUACUUAGUUUUUUGUUGGCUUACUUUGCAAAAGAAACUAUUUACCAUCCAGCAGUAUGUAAUUCCAUUAAGAAAUAAAAAACAGAAUUUGAAAUGCAAA